CUGACCUCAAAUCAGGUAGGAUUACCCGCUGAACUUAA
rnacentral:rRNA from 18 species